UGGUCUCCGUGCCUGCCCAGCCGGCCCCACAAGGCUACAUGUUCUGUUUUGGUUCUCUCUCUCUCUCUCUCUCUCUCCCUCUCUGCCUGGGCGGAGCUCACUGCGGGCUCCCGCCCUUGGUCCACACACCUGUCAUCAAUCACCAGUCAUCACCAGGAGCAGUACUUGAGGCUGGGACACAGAUCCUCUCAUCGCUGGAUGAUUGUGUUUAACACUUUUCCUCCCUGGACCUGUGACCUCCCCGCUGUGUGGUUGUGUGUGAGUUGGAGUAAGAGCAGGAGACGAGUGCGCGAGCGUUUUCCCCUGGACCUUCCCUGGGACCCUUCUCCUACCCGGAUUUCCCCCACUGUACAUAUUCUGCACUUGGUGUUGUAAAUAAACUCUGUGUUGGAACUGA